UACGUAGGGUGCAAGCGUUGUCCGGAAUUAUUGGGCGUAAAGGGCUCGUAGGCGGUCCAUCGCGUCGGGAGUGAAAAGCUGGGGCUCAACCCCAGUCCUGCUUCCGAUACGGGUGGACUAGAGGUAGGCAGGGGAGAACGGAAUUCCUGGUGUAGCGGUGAAAUGCGCAGAUAUCAGGAGGAACACCGGUGGCGAAGGCGGUUCUCUGGACGACUCCUGACACUGAGGCACGAAAGCUAGGGGAGCAAACAGG
rnacentral:rRNA from 1 species